GUUGGGUAUAAUCCCCUCCUGUUGACCCGUGUGUCCAGCAGCAGCUGGCUGCCAGGCCCAGCUGGGUCUUAUGGACACAAGUGGCCACAAAAGCAUGUUCCCUUUGGGACUUCCCUUCCCUUCGCCCUGAGUCAGGUGUGGAGGGGACUGGGGUCCUACUUGGGGGCACAACAGCAAGGCAAACAUUGUGUGCAAUCUUGCCACCCACAGUUCGUAUGAGUGCCAACAGAUGAAAGGGAGCGUUUUGAGAGCAGCUGAGAAAACGUGCCCCCCCUCUCCCCCUGCAAACUUCCGCCCCGAGGGCCUCGCAGCCUCUGCAGUGUGAACUCUGCCGCUGUGAUCGGGCAGGUUUGCAAGGGGACAAGAUGUCCCCACCGGCAUCUAGGACCUUAUGCAGCCUGUUUACACUGGCUGAUGCUGUUCUUGAAACAGGAAUUCUAGGGGUAACAGAGGGCAGGUUUAGGACAUUUUAGAAAUUAAGGGGACCAUGGAGGAAGCACAGGGCUGCAGAGCAGCAGAAGGUAUAUUUCCAUAGAAUGGGGGAGCUGAAACGCUGCAACAGGUGCAUUUCCAUAGAAUGAGGAGCUGGGAACAGCGGAAGGUCUAUAUUUACAAAAUAGAGGGCAGGAGCCCCUCAUCCACAAGGAGAAGAAGAAAGCCCAGAGGGAAUAAGGAGACAAUAAGGAAGGAGGGGAGAGAACCUCAUGUGAGGUUCAACCUUUGAGCCCAGGAGUUACUGUAGUAACCAGUCCAAGCGAAUAGUGACCGAUCAGAGGGGAUAUCAAGGCACAAAGAUCUGCAGCCUUUACAAGCCGCAGGGAAAAGGAACUCCGUGGGGGCCCUUUCCUCCUCCCCACGUUGGAGUCUGUACUUGUUCUUCAAUAAACCUCCACCUUUGCUCUACCA